AGACUAUACUAGAGUUUGAUCCUGGCUCAGGAUGAACGCUGGCGGCGUGCUUAACACAUGCAAGUCGAACGAUGAUCUCCAGCUUGCUGGGGGAGGUAUGUGGCGGAACGGGUGAGUAACACGUGAGUAACCUGCCCUUGACUCUGGGAUAAGCCUGGGAAACUGGGUCUAAUACCGGAUAUGACCGGCCGCCGCAUGGUGGUUGGUGAAAAGCUUUUGCGGUUUUGGAUGGACUCGCGGCCUAUCAGCUUGUUGGUGGGGUAAUGGCCUACCAAGGCGACGACGGGUAGCCGGCCUGAGAGGGUGACCGGCCACACUGGGACUGAGACACGGCCCAGACUCCUACGGGAGGCAGCAGUGGGGAAUAUUGCACAAUGGGCGCAAGCCUGAUGCAGCGACGCCGCGUGAGGGAUGACGGCCUUCGGGU
rnacentral:rRNA from 1 species